UCGUUCCUCGUUUCUGUUUCCCAGUUAUUACAAACUUAAUAGCAUAUACUGUACAAUUCCUGUGACUAAAAUAGAUAGUUUGUUUUGGCACUCUAUACAUUGCUUCCUGUGCAACCGGCUGUAGUAGUACUUAGAGUAGUGUUGUCAAUGUCUCCUGGGUUUUAAUGUUGGUUGUAGCCUUACUUCAGACAUCCUCUUAUCUGCAGCUAGCUCAUGCUAUUAUUUGGUCGUGCCCAUCAUCAAAAUGUUUGCUCCCUCUGUACCAUAUGAUAUGACGUUUUAGCA
rnacentral:lncRNA from 1 species